UUAGGAGACAGAGAGAGAGAGAGAGAGAGAUAUCUACUUAUGGGUACGUGCAAACGUACAUAUCGACUGCUGAAGGAGUUGUCGAGAGGAUGUAUAUUUAAAAAAAGAAAACAUCUUUAAGAGGAUUGCAAAGCUUAAUGAGAUGCAAGACGACGUGUCGUCUAGUGACCCCAUUUAUCGUCGGUCGUUGCACGAGUGCGUUUCAAAUGUUUGAAAUUCUAAAAGAUAGUGUAUUAUAUUUCUUACCAAUUGUGGAAACGAUGGUGCCUACGAAAUGAAAACUUCCAGGAAAAUCCCAACGCCGCCUUUUGUUAAUGAUACCGGCAGAUGAUGCGUUUCCGUAGGCGUAAAGAAGUUCGUGUAAUCUCUGAAGCGCUAGUGGACUACCACGUAAGUGAUGCUUACGAAAAGCAUGAUAUACCCGCCAAAAUUCUGCAGCCUGCAUGCACGUUAUGAAAAAAAAAGAAAA
rnacentral:lncRNA from 1 species